CCGUCAUACAGAGCAAGUCAAACUUUUCUCAUCUGUUGCCUUUUUAUUGAUGGAGCAUCCUAAUAGCACUGAGCAUCCUAAUAGCACUUUCUGACCUUAUUCUACUCUACCAUCUUGGAAAGAAACAGGAUGGAUCUAGGAAGCUCAGACUACAUGCAGUAAAAUCCACAGGACUGGAAUUACAUCAAUUUUGCAUUCAGCUCAGUAAAUGAAAACGUAUUUAUGCAGCCUGAAA